UCCCUGGUGGUCCAGUGGUUAGGACUCAGCGCUUUCACCACAGUGGCCCAGCUUCAAUCCCUGGUCGGGGAA